GGCAAAGCAUUUCUGGAUUCACUUGAAGACUGACACAUGGACAUGUUUCCAUUGAAGUUGCUACAGGUGAUAGGAGUUUUCUUUGGAAGACUGACAAAAGGACUGGAGCAAAGCAAGUUAUUAUUACAUCCACUUAUUAGAAAAAAAAAUAAAAAUACAAAAGAACAUGCUAUAAGAUAAAUAAUAGAGCCCAACUUGUGCAAUGCAGCAACUUCUCAGAGCUACAAAAAAGAAAUCAGGGAUGAUCACAGUCCUGAAUGCACACUCACAAAGCCAUUCCAGAUUGAAACUUUGAGCACCCAUAGUCAGUUCAACAGGAAAAAGUAAGAUACAGUAUUUUAAGGACAUGACUUUGAUAAUUCUCUAGUUUGAAGCCAGGGAUAAGUGACAGGUUGGACAUUUCCACCGGGGAAAUAGUCUAGUUACAUUGGAAUGGAUUACCCUUUGCUAUUCAACAUCUCAGCUCCCUAGUUACCAUCUCCAAACUAAGGUGUUUGCCUCAGCACGUGGUUGUUUACACAGUGACUUAUCUUACCUUGGUGAGAUAUUUGAUACCCAUAAAACAUCCGUCACACUCUGUCCUACUGCUUUUCUUUAACUCAGGGCAAGGCCCAUCCCUCUUCCAAAACCUUUGACAGCUUUGAAAUAUGAGUGUUGCUGUCGGUGUAGCUCAGGGGCUGUGCAGUGGUUGCUUUCUCCAGAGGCUCUGCAACACCUCAGUACUUCCCCUUCUUUGAACAGAGGUGGCAAAAUCCAUAAUUUGUUUCCAUUCUGCUUGGCUGAAAAUGAGGAAAAGUUUGGGACCCUGUCACAGAGAUAGUUAAGUGAAGAGUCAAUACAAUGAAGGCCUCUGCACCAGGAGUAGCCCAUAAUAGGUGGCGGCAGUGUCACAACUCAGCUUGUUUUUUAAUAUAGCUCUUUUUUUUGGUUUUUCUUUUUUUUUUUUUUUUGUUUUUUUCCUUCUUUUGUGUGUGUUUUUCUUUCCUUCUGGGUGGAGCAGAGCUGGAGAGGUGAUGACUUACCUGCCACAGCUCGGUAGAUCGCAAUCUGGAACUGGCAGAGUGUUAACACAAUGCCCCAGCAGAGCUUUUCUGUCUCUAAUUUCAAUGAUUAUGUUGUUACUGGAUCAGUGAAGAGAACCAUGAAAAACACAAUUACCAGGAAGCCCUGUUCCUUCGCUCGCCUCUUUGUCUCCCUGCGAAUGGGGCAUGUGACUCACGGAGCAAUAGAGGACCCGCUGUAAUCUCACGCACUACCGAGAAGGGUGCUGUCCGCCGAUGGGACCCAAGCGUGGGAAAGCCUGACUGCCGGCUGGAAGGGCCAGUCACGUCAUGUUUUGCAGCUGGCAUCCAAAUGCAUCCUGAUGAAUCAAGUGAGAGCAGCUACCUUCUCCUGCCACAACGGUGGCCGAGCAGCCGUGCAGAAGAGGGGCUGUAAAACCCUCCCCGCAUGCAAAAGCACAGGGAAGGGACUAUGUUGUGAAUGAGCUUACUGUGACAGCAGAGCAAUGUUUUAUAGGUCACUGGCAUAGCAUCAGACUAAAGGGAGAGAAGAUGAGUAUCUUUCAGCUGUGAGUGCUGCUUUCAGGUUUGUUCAGUGCAGGACCAUGGCUGUGGCCUGACUCGACCAUGGCUGUGGCCUGACUCGACCCUGUUAUGUGAUGCAUGGUGGGAAAAGAGAAAGUCACUUGUUCUCUGCACUCCAAAUCAUGUAUAAACCUAUGACCUCAACAACAAAUACCAGUAGCAGCAGAGCAGCCAAUAUUUUUAUCAUUAAUUGCUAUCAAAAAUGUCAGCUCAAAGUCAUCAGAUUUGAUAGGCGAGCAUGCUCCAAACUGACGGCUGAAGUGAAUUAUUUGCCUAUUGCGUGAUGCAAAAACAAUGUCUUGCAGGAGAGAACAGACAUUGGCAAACAAACUGACAACAAGAUAUACUUCUGGGGAAGGCUCCUGAUUUCAUCUGGAAGGAAACAUUGAGUAUAAAUAUGGAGAAAGUUUACCUGCAUGAAAGGUGGGGUUGAGCCUUGGACUUCCUUACUCUUCUGGAGAACAGUGAAACAUACCUGCUAUUGUACUCCCUUUGAGCUGUUCUCAUUGCAAAAAGGUACCAGACACCUCAGAAAGUUUUUUAAGUAAUAAAGCAUUUUUCCCCCCAUCCCUGGUGAAUCCAUUUAUCAGUGACUAAUGAGCACAUAAAUGCCAGCAUGUGAAGAAAAUUACCUUCAUCUUGGUGUUAAGCAGAAUUUUCCCUGCCCAUGGAUCUGCAGCACAAAUCUUUCUAGUCUUUCUGUGCUGAGGGCCUAAGCAUGGCCAGACAGUACACAGUGCAGCACUGGCACAUUAAUAAUGUAACUACUAGGUACUACAGAUUGAAUCAGGACCUGUUUAAAUACUGGUAUAACCAUGAACAUCAUCCAGGACAUGUUUCUGUGGGAUUUAGUGACUGUCUUUAUUUCGCACAGUGGGAAAAACCCCCUCUGGAAGCAGGAUUCCAGUGAAGGGAAAGUUAGCUAUGCCUGCCAGGGAUCUCUUUUGCCCCCAAAAAUUCAGACAUCACGGGACACAAGCAGAAAAUGAAAGAGAACCAGCGAGGGGAAAACCAAACAGGCUGGGGUCUUCUUGACACUUCUUUUGAAGUCCCCAGUGUAACUCCUGGCAUCUUCAGUGGGGUUUGGCUGGGUUCUCUGCAGAAGCGUCUUUGAAGAUUUUGCUAAGGCUCAAGGCCUUGAUCAUGGCAACUUUUAUGCCUGGGAGCAACUCUGUGCAGAUGAACAUUUCCAGGGUGCUCAGCAGGAUGCUUUGGAUGAGACUUUGCAGGGCUAGUCUUAAGCAAUGAGAGCUUAAGAGAAAUAUUCUGGUUGUCGUGCUUUUAUCCUUGACCACAUCAAAUGAAAUGCCUUGGCAGUUCUGGAAGAAUGAAUUUGCAUUGAAAACCCACAGCUCUUACAAGCAGUGCAUUAAUUAUUUUAUUAAUUUGCCUUUUUUACAGUAUGGGAAACAUUCAUCUAUUUACAUUUUCCUGUCCACACACAAACCAGAUACAUAAUGCUAUGGAAACCCAAAUCAUUAAGCCAUAAAAACACUCUUUUCUGUCUAAAGGCUUUCAAACUUGUGUCUUUUGUUUCAAAUCAAAAACAUUUUUAAAAUCACAUUUGGGAAUGCAGGUAGGCCAGUGAUUUACAUUCUACUUAAAAUAUGCAUUUGACUGUUUUCCUUAAAAAGAACAACAAAAAUCAAAAAAACCAAAACCCCCAAUAAAUUCACAAAGAUGCAGUUUAAAUUAAAGUGAUAGUGCACAUCAAAGCAUUAAGGGAACACCAAUAAAUAAAAUGAAAUAUAUUACAAAUAAAUUAUUUCUAUUUACCUUUUCAAAUAUUAAAAAUCUUUAAUCCAUUUCUUCAUCUUUCUUUACAAAAAGAUUAUGAGAAUUUUAUGGAAACAUCUGCAAAAAAUAUAAUAAAUACCUCUUUUUUUUUAAACUUUUGAAGCAGGAGACAAAACCAACCUUUUCUAAAAUUUCCCCCAAGAAAAAAAAAAAAAGCAACAGUUUAGUCCCAAAGUGAAACAGAAUAUAGGCAUUUUUAAAAUACACUGGGCAGUUUAGACUAAAAACAGAUAGUUACAAAUUAUACUAAAACAGAUGAUGGAGCAAAUAUACUAGCAUUAGUGUUUGUAAAUGAGUCAAGUGGUUAACUAGUGGCAUUCUACGGGCAGAAUUAUUUUAUUUUGUAUUUUCUGGUAUUGGCUGUAUUUUUAAUAUUUUGCUAAAAAACUAGGCAAACAUUAUAAUAACCUCUCCAGUGCCAAACGAACUAACAAGCAUUCAUCUAAGAAUAAAUUCAUUUAAAAUAGAUACAAAAAAUAUUCUAUGAUAUACAAAUACAAUAAUUUGUAAUGUACAAGACUAGAUAGUCUUCACUUUUCUGCUUUUUUAGGGGGGAACUUGCUGCAUAUAAAUUUCUGUAGCCACUUGUCAACCAAAGUCUUAACUCAUCAUUCAUAAAACGUUCACAAAACUAAGUAAGUCUGCAACACAGUUGUGAAUGUGGACUCUCACCUAGGUACUGCUUUAAAUAAUUCAGUACAAAUGAGUUCCAAAUAAUUAAUACUUCCUAUGACUAUAUAUGCUCAAAAGUGGCAGUUGGCACUAUUACAUACUGCAAACACGGUGAUGUUUUGUUGCUGCUAAAAGUUAAACGCAGUGUUUCAAAACUAGCAAAUACACUGGUAUUCAAACGCUUAGAGGGUCAAACCUUUUGAAGCUCCUGUAACAUCAAGCACUCUAGAGUUACACUGGAUUUCUGAUUACUCUAGUUAAAAGUCUUUAUAUAUUAAAUUAUUAGCCCUUAUCUUGUAAACCACAGCAGUAAAUAUUUGUGCCCUGUUUAUAAAGACAUAGCUCAGAUAUCGAUGGCUUUGAGAGGUAGCAAAUUCUCUAGUGGUUUUAGUAUGCUCUCAUGAAAAUACUUGGUGCCAGAACCUAUUACCUCUCCUAUUUUCUCGAAUAAAAUUAAAUUAGCACCUGGCUAUGAUGUCAUAGGAAAAGAAGCUGUCUGGCAUGGUCUCGAUGAAUACUUUUAGCAAGAGCUUAACUUUUCGAUGAUGAUUUUCAAUGCUUUUUAAGUGCAAGCUGCAGAAUUACGCCACAUGUGCAGUGGGGCUUUUCACUGGUUGGACUGUCCAUACAGGUUGAGCUGUCAUGGGCACAGCCAGCCCGCACUGGCGUGCAGCAAGGGCUGCCACCUGUGCCCCUCCAUGGUGGGGCUGUCACUGUGCCUGUGCUCACUGGGAGCAGAAAGCAGCCUGCCUUCCUCUCCCGCGUACCCCUGCCCUGGCAGACAGGGUGAAGAGCACGUAGGGAGCAGCAGAGGAGUCUGGAAAAGAUCGCUGCAGGACUGCACACGCACUGAGGGCUGCACAGCGCUCCUCUGCUCAGCGCUCCUCUGCUCAGUCCUGUCACCCAAAGCAGCCCACGCUAAUUCUGCUGGCAGCAGCACAUGCCAGUUAGGCACACGUGUGUGCACUCACACACGCUCACACGCACGCACACAACUCGCUUUCAGCAACAUGCCUGACAUAGCUUUCCUAAUGUUGGCACAAGAGAUUCCAGUAGCAGCGUGGUCGGCAUCAUUCGUCAUCAGAGGAGCUGGAGGACAAGCCCCUGUCCCAGCCAGAGGUGGCUGGAGGGGACAGACAUACAGGAGCUGACCUCUCAGGCUCCUCUCCAACCCUAUUAUCUGCCAUUUCCACCCACUAUUAAUGAGCUACUUAGGAUGCAUAUUUUUCGUGAUUGCAAAACAAUGGCAGAAGCCAGGGUAGGAAGGCUUGUCGUGAAAAAUAUUAAGUUCAUAUUGAUCCCAUAACUUGUGAAAAAUAGUCUAUUGUUCUUGUUCAAGUGAGUACGUUAUGCUAUUAAGAGGAGGCUGAGUUAGAAAUUUACUCCUAAAUACGGACGGUUUGGUGAUAAGCAGUCUGAACUGUAGCAUACAACCAGCUGUGGAUAGAGCAAAGCAAGCCUGGCCUGGAAAAGCAUCAGAGGCUCCAUGUACAGUAAUUCACCUACAGGUGUCUGUGUGUGGCUGCGUGGACGUAUGAGAUUGGAUGGUCCCACCGAGAUUAAGACAUCAACAAAACCAAGCUUUUUUUUCUUUUUUUUUCUUUUUUUUUUAACCAAUAUAAUCCAUACAAUACAAUACAAGAGGAAUUGACAAUACAGUACAAUUUUAAAAAUUCUUAAUACUUGGACAAGAAAAUCCUUCUUUUAUAUUAUCUCUUCAACUGUCAUUGCUUCUUAUCUCCUUCCUUUUUACUCUUUUAUUGCCUUUCAAAAUAGAUUAUUUCCCUGGAAGAUCGAAUUUACAAUCUUCUGCUGAUUGAAAUGUUUAAGUAGUGAUUGAUGAAAUAAAAAUGAGGCAGUUUGUGCA